rnacentral:rRNA from 1 species
UUUCUCGAGCGAGUGGCGAACGGGUGAGUAACGCGUGAGGACCUGCCUCAAAGAGGGGGACAACAGUUGGAAACGACUGCUAAUACCGCAUAAGUCGGCAUCGAAAAAGGAGCAAUCCGCUUUGAGAUGGCCUCGCGUCCGAUUAGCUAGUUGGUGAGGUAAUGGCCCACCAAGGCGACGAUCGGUAGCCGGACUGAGAGGUUGAACGGCCACAUUGGGACUGAGACACGGCCCAGACUCCUACGGGAGGCAGCAGUGGGGAAUAUUGCACAAUGGGGGAAACCCUGAUGCAGCGACACCGCGUGGAGGAAGAAGGUCUUCGGAUUGUAAACUCCUGUUGUUGAGGAAGAUAAUGACGGUACUCAACAAGGAAGUGACGGCUAACUACGUGCCAGCAGCCGCGGUAAAACGUAGGUCACAAGCGUUGUCCGGAAUUACUGGGUGUAAAGGGAGCGCAUGCGGGAGGACAAGUUGGAAGUGAAAUCUAUGGGCUCAACCCAUAAACUGCUUUCAAAACUGUUUUUCUUGAGUAGUGCAGAGGUAGGCGGAAUUCCCG